UUUCAAUUUACACAAUCAAACACAUGUUGCUGGAGGUACACUUUCUCUGUGGUGAUUGUCUCUUAUACUCCCAAUAUUGUUUCUUCUUAACAUUCUUUCUUUCGUAGCUAACUUUUUUUUUAAAAUAAAACAACAAUAUAUCCAAUUGGACACACAUCUCAAUUAAAGAAAUAUAAUAAAAUUCAAAAUACAAUUAAUCCAUUAUCUCUCAUAUUUUUGAGACAAAAAAUUGAAAUCACUUUCAUAGUUUCUCAAAACCUAAUUGCAACGAUCCCCUUUCAUCAUCUAUCCCCGAACCUCGUCCAGCUUCGAGAAACCAUGGUGAAAUCGAAGUCGAAGAAGAAAGGGAACCUCAAUAGUCAACCUUCUUCACCGCAGAUCGACAACAGAGGUUUAUAUUUUGAAUUCUUUAACUCUUUUUGACUUUAAAGAGUUUUCGAAAUCCCUAACUUUUUAUGUUUUUCUUGUUUGUGUUGUAAUUUUCCAAUUGGAUCGAAAUUUCUGAGAUUUUGUGGAUGGGAGAGAUAAUGAGCAGAUCUGAGAGCUCCAGUGUGGAGAGGGCAACGUGACGGCGAGCAUGUCCAAGCUCCGUUGUGGAGAGGAUGACAUGACGGCCAGCAGAUCUGAGCUCCGGUGCGGAGAAACGCGGCGACGAACAGGUCAUGCCUCUAUUGUGGAAAAGAAGACGACAAGCUCUCGUGGUGUGAAGAUGGAUUUUUGGAUAAAACUUGACAUGACCACAGCAAGAAUUCAUGGAUAAUGCAGCAAGAUAUACUUGACAUGACCACAGCAAGAAUUCAUGGAUAAUGCAGCAAGAUAUUUUAACUACAUGACCACAUCAAGAGUCUAUGACGUAGUUCACAACAACAACGUCCUAAACAUCAAUCUUGUUUCCACCCAUUAAGAGUCUAUGGAUGAUGCAGCUCAACACCUCCUAUCCAGACUCCAAAACGUGGUUUAUCUACUUUCACUUGGUCUUGUAUUUCAUAUCUAUGUCAACAUAUGUAAUUACUAUAGACCAAACUUGGGGAAAGUAUGGAUAUGAACGUUUUAGUGUAUGUGUCCAGCUUUGAUGUCUAUAUCCACAUAUAGUUUAUAACUCUAUUAUCUAAGUGUCCAUAUCCACAUUUUUAUAGAUGAUUGAGAAUAUAAGAAUGUUAUCAACGAAAACACAUCCAUGAAACUUCUUAAAAGAUUUUUUAUAUUUUUGUAUCUAUCCAUGUCCACAUCUUUUUUUUCAUGUAUUUUUCUUACUUGUCCACAAUUUUCCG